UACGAAGGGGGCUAGCGUUGUUCGGAAUCACUGGGCGUAAAGCGCACGUAGGCGGAUAGUUAAGUUGGGGGUGAAAGCCCGGGGCUCAACCUCGGAAUUGCCUUCAAUACUGGCUAUCUUGAGUGUGAGAGAGGUGUGUGGAACUCCGAGUGUAGGGGUGAAAUUCGUAGAUAUUCGGAAGAACACCAGUGGCGAAGGCGACACACUGGCUCACUACUGACGCUGAGGCGCGAAAGCGUGGGGAGCAAACAGG
rnacentral:rRNA from 1 species